AGAGGAAUUGCUAGGCCAUGUGACAACCCUAUGUUUAACAUUUUGAGUAACUGUCAAGUUAUUUUCCACCUUGGGUGCACUAUUUUGUAUUCCCACCAGCAAU
rnacentral:pre_miRNA from 1 species